rnacentral:lncRNA from 1 species
AUGCGUAAAGGCUACGCUGCCCUCGAUAGCUAUGUUUCAGUGAUUAAACCACAAACAAGAUUUCCUCAAAGCUCUACAAGUGUUUCCCUAUGCAUUUCAAGGAAGCAGAAUUUAAUUCUGUUCCUGAAGUGGAUGUUUACUGCACAGGAUUUCUUUGUUGGAUUUCAACUGUGUUUUAUUUGCCACAGAGAUCUGACCUCAAAAAUUAGACAUAGUGCAAAUAUUAAGGAGAAGGAAAAAAAAACUCUGCAAACUCCUCCUUUCAAGAAAAGCACAACCAUGGCUGGCACACAAAGCUAACAAAAAUCAGAUGAGACUUUCUUCCUUUUCAUUAAUAUCUGCAGGCUACAUGAAGAAAACCAAAAGAAACCCAAACCCUUUUGAUCCGGGUAGCUAAAAUGCUUUCAAACUUAAAUGCACUAGCAACAUCAGUACGAUCAACCAUCUCCACCAGCUCUCAGGAGAAUGAGUGUCCUCCCUCUCUGGAGUUCCAACUCACAACCUGCAGCAAAUGCAGGUGAUAUGUGAGCACAGCAGAGUCUGUCCCUUCUGCUCUAACCUGAGUUCCCUGCCACAGCUGUAGGACCAAGCACUUGGAACACAGAACAAGCAUUUCAAUUUAAAUCUACCAGAGAUGACAACAAAGUUCUUUGAUUACAAACUUCUUUGGGGCAAAGAAACCCAUUUUAUUUUGGACAGAGAUACCCAUUCUAUUUGCAAAGUUGUAAGUACAAUAGGCUCU